GAUGAACGCUGGCGGCGUGCCUAAUACAUGCAAGUCGAGCGAACAGAUGAGGAGCUUGCUCCUCUGACGUUAGCGGCGGACGGGUGAGUAACACGUGGAUAACCUACUUAUAAGACUUGGAGAACUUCGGGAAACCGGAGCUAAUACCGGAUAAUAUAUUGAACCGCAUGGUUCAAUAGUUAAAGACGGUUUUGCUGUCACUUAUAGACGGAUCCGCGCCGCAUUAGCUAGUUGGUAAGGUAACGGCUUACCAAGGCAACGAUGCUUAGCCGACCUGAGAGAGUGAUCGGCCACACUGGAACUGAGACACGGUCCAGACUCCUACGGGAGGCAGCAGUAGGGAAUCUUCCGCACUGGGCGAAAGCCUGCAGGAGCAACGCGGCGUGAGUGAUAAAGGUCUUCGGGUCGUAAAACUCUGUUGUUAGGGAAGAACAAAUGUGUAAGUAACUAUGCACGUCUUGACGGUACCUAAUCAGAAAGCCACGGCUAACUACGUG
rnacentral:rRNA from 1 species